GGAGCAAACAGGAUUAGAUACCCUGGUAGUCCACGCUGUAAACGAUGUCGAUUUGGAGGUUGUGCCCUUGAGGCGUGGCUUCCGGAGCUAACGCGUUAAAUCGACCGCCUGGGGAGUACGGCCGCAAGGUUAAAACUCAAAUGAAUUGACGGGGGCCCGCACAAGCGGUGGAGCAUGUGGUUUAAUUCGAUGCAACGCGAAGAACCUUACCUACUCUUGACAUCCAGAGAACUUUCCAGAGAUGGAUUGGUGCCUUCGGGAACUCUGAGACAGGUGCUGCAUGGCUGUCGUCAGCUCGUGUUGUGAAAUGUUGGGUUAAGUCCCGCAACGAGCGCAACCCUUAUCCUUUGUUGCCAGCGGUUCGGCCGGGAACUCAAAGGAGACUGCCAGUGAUAAACUGGAGGAAGGUGGGGAUGACGUCAAGUCAUCAUGGCCCUUACGAGUAGGGCUACACACGUGCUACAAUGGCGUAUACAAAGAGAAGCGACCUCGCGAGAGCAAGCGGACCUCAUAAAGUACGUCGUAGUCCGGAUUGGAGUCUGCAACUCGACUCCAUGAAGUCGGAAUCGCUAGUAAUCGUAGAUCAGAAUGCUACGGUGAAUACGUUCCCGGGCCUUGUACACACCGCCCGUCACACCAUGGGAGUGGGUUGCAAAAGAAGUAGGUAGCUUAACCU
rnacentral:rRNA from 1 species